ensembl:snoRNA
GGCAGGUGAUGUCUAGUAACUUCACGAUGGUCUUCAGAUGCCCACCACAGGCACUGCUGAGAAAGUUGCUGUGCACAGCUGAUUCCAGAAG